ACGAGCGGCGAACGGGUGAGUAACACGUGGGUGAUCUGCCCUGCACUUCGGGAUAAGCCUGGGAAACUGGGUCUAAUACCGGAUAUGACCUCCUAUCGCAUGGUGGGUGGUGGAAAGAUUUAUCGGUGCAGGAUGGGCCCGCGGCCUAUCAGCUUGUUGGUGGGGUAAUGGCCUACCAAGGCGACGACGGGUAGCCGACCUGAGAGGGUGACCGGCCACACUGGGACUGAGACACGGCCCAGACUCCUACGGGAGGCAGCAGUGGGGAAUAUUGCACAAUGGGCGAAAGCCUGAUGCAGCGACGCCGCGUGAGGGAUGACGGCCUUCGGGUUGUAAACCUCUUUCAGCAGGGACGAAGCGCAAGUGACGGUACCUGCAGAAGAAGCACCGGCUAACUACGUGCCAGCAGCCGCGGUAAUACGUAGGGUGCAAGCGUUGUCCGGAAUUACUGGGCGUAAAGAGUUCGUAGGCGGUUUGUCGCGUCGUUUGUGAAAACCAGCAGCUCAACUGCUGGCUUGCAGGCGAUACGGGCAGACUUGAGUACUGCAGGGGAGACUGGAAUUCCUGGUGUAGCGGUGAAAUGCGCAGAU
rnacentral:rRNA from 1 species